UUUCUGUAGAAACCCAACAGACCCACUACCAUGGGGUUUGAAUCCUGGAAUUUAAUGUCCAUCCCGGAAAAAACCACCCCGGACAAAAUAUCAUUUUGUCCAUUUCAUCCACUUCUUCAGUAAAUUGAAAGUUCUUAAUAGCAUACAGAAAUGUAUAUCCAAACAGUUGAUCGUAAAAUAUUUUUAUGUGAAAAUGAAAAAAAUAAGAUCGAUUGAAAUUUAUCCUUUAAAGAGUUAAGAAGAAUUCCUUCUUCCCACUAAAAUCAAGAUAAGGAGGAAAUAAGCCUUUAAAAAAAUUUUUUCAUCACAGUACAAUUAUUUUAGCUGCAUAGGAGGCUCUUCAACAAAGGACACAACUUGACGGGUUUUAUGCAAAAUGGUCUCUUCCCCACUCUCCCUCAAGUAUAAUUGAAAGGGGACUGGAGGAGUCAAGCUGAGCUUCUCUACAUUUACACAAAUAAAUAAGUUGAUUUUGGGUGCAGUGAGAAACAAUAUAAUCUGUGCAAUGGCAAUGGAGGUAAAGGUUCAAAAUGUUACAAAAAAACUGGUUGAUGCAUGCCAAGGAUUGAGCCCCAGGCAAAAAUACCAAGGGCGGAUAUUAAAUAUGCUUGUUUUUUUUUUAACAAAUA